UUAAUAUGAGAGUUUGAUCCUGGCUCAGGACGAACGCUGGCGGCAUGCCUAAUACAUGCAAGUCGAACGAACCAUCCUGAUGAUUGAAGCUUGCUUCAUGAUUCAGACCUUGGUGAGUGGCGGACGGGUGAGUAACACGUGGGUAACCUGCCCAGAAGUGGGGGAUAACAUUUGGAAACAAGUGCUAAUACCGCAUAACAACUUAGAUCACAUGAUCUUUGUUUAAAAGAUGGUUUUGCUAUCUCUUCUGGAUGGACCCGCGGCGUAUUAGCUAGUUGGUGAGGUAAUAGCUCACCAAGGCGAUGAUACGUAGCCGACCUGAGAGGGUAAUCGGCCACAUUGGGACUGAGACACGGCCCAAACUCCUACGGGAGGCAGCAGUAGGGAAUCUUCCACAAUGGACGAAAGUCUGAUGGAGCAAUGCCGCGUGAGUGAAGAAGGUUUUCGGAUCGUAAAACUCUGUUGUUGAAGAAGAAUAUAUGUGAGAGUAACUGUUCACGUACUGACGGUAUUCAACCAGAAAGCCACGGCUAACUACGUGCCAGCAGCCGCGGUAAUACGUAGGUGGCAAGCGUUGUCCGGAUUUAUUGGGCGUAAAGAGAAUGUAGGCGGUUUAUUAAGUUUGAAGUGAAAGCCCUCGGCUCAACCGAGGAAGUGCUUCGAAAACUGGUAAACUUGAGUGCAGAAGAGGAAAGUGGAACUCCAUGUGUAGCGGUGGAAUGCGUAGAUAUAUGGAAGAACACCAGUGGCGAAGGCGGCUUUCUGGUCUGUAACUGACGCUGAGAUUCGAAAGCAUGGGUAGCAAACAGGAUUAGAUACCCUGGUAGUCCAUGCCGUAAACGAUGAGUGCUAAGUGUUGGAGGGUUUCCGCCCUUCAGUGCUGCAGCUAACGCAUUAAGCACUCCGCCUGGGGAGUACGAUCGCAAGAUUGAAACUCAAAGGAAUUGACGGGGGCCCGCACAAGCGGUGGAGCAUGUGGUUUAAUUCGAAGCAACGCGAAGAACCUUACCAGGUCUUGACAUACCAUGAAAAGCUUAGAGAUAAGUCUUUCCCUUCGGGGACAUGGAUACAGGUGGUGCAUGGUUGUCGUCAGCUCGUGUCGUGAGAUGUUGGGUUAAGUCCCGCAACGAGCGCAACCCUUAUUAUCAGUUGCCAGCAUUCAGUUGGGCACUCUGGUGAGACUGCCGGUGAUAAACCGGAGGAAGGUGGGGACGACGUCAAAUCAUCAUGCCCCUUAUGACCUGGGCUACACACGUGCUACAAUGGUCGGUACAACGUGCUGCGAACUCGCGAGGGCAAGCAAAUCACUUAAAACCGAUCUCAGUUCGGAUUGUAGGCUGCAACUCGCCUACAUGAAGCUGGAAUCGCUAGUAAUCGCGGAUCAGCAUGCCGCGGUGAAUACGUUCCCGGGCCUUGUACACACCGCCCGUCACACCAUGAGAGUUUGUAACACCCAAAGUCGGUGGGGUAACCCUUCGGGGAACUAGCCGCCUAAGGUGGGACAAAUGAUUAGGGUGAAGUCGUAACAAGGUAGCCGUAGGAGAACCUGCGGCUGGAUCACCUCCUUUCUAAGGA
rnacentral:rRNA from 1 species